GACGAACGCUGGCGGCGUGCUUAACACAUGCAAGUCGAACAGAAAGGCCCUGCUUUUGUGGGGUGCUCGAGUGGCGAACGGGUGAGUAACACGUGAGUAACCUACCCUUGACUUUGGGAUAACUUCAGGAAACUGGGGCUAAUACCGGAUAGGAGCUCCUGCUGCAUGGUGGGGGUUGGAAAGUUUCGGCGGUUGGGGAUGGACUCGCGGCUUAUCAGCUUGUUGGUGGGGUAGUGGCUUACCAAGGCUUUGACGGGUAGCCGGCCUGAGAGGGUGACCGGCCACAUUGGGACUGAGAUACGGCCCAGACUCCUACGGGAGGCAGCAGUGGGGAAUAUUGCACAAUGGGCGGAAGCCUGAUGCAGCAACGCCGCGUGCGGGAUGACGGCCUUCGGGUUGUAAACCGCUUUCGCCUGUGACGAAGCGUGAGUGACGGUAAUGGGUAAAGAAGCACCGGCUAACUACGUG
rnacentral:rRNA from 1 species